rnacentral:rRNA from 1 species
UACGAAGGGGGCUAGCGUUGUUCGGAAUCACUGGGCGUAAAGGGCGCGUAGGCGGCUUUGUAAGUCGGGGGUGAAAGCCUGUGGCUCAACCACAGAAUUGCCUUCGAUACUGCAUGGCUUGAGACCGGAAGAGGUUAGUGGAACUGCGAGUGUAGAGGUGAAAUUCGUAGAUAUUCGCAAGAACACCAGUGGCGAAGGCGGCUGACUGGUCCGGUUCUGACGCUGAGGCGCGAAAGCUAGGGUAGCAAACGGG